rnacentral:rRNA from 1 species
UACGAAGGGGGCUAGCGUUGUUCGGAAUUACUGGGCGUAAAGCGCACGUAGGCGGAUAUUUAAGUCGGGGGUGAAAUCCCGGGGCUCAACCCCGGAACUGCCUUCGAUACUGGGUAUCUUGAGUUCGGAAGAGGUGAGUGGAACUCCGAGUGUAGAGGUGAAAUUCGUAGAUAUUCGGAAGAACACCAGUGGCGAAGGCGGCUCACUGGUCCGGUACUGACGCUGAGGUGCGAAAGCGUGGGAGCAAACAGG